UCGAUGGGAAGCAGGUUAAAAUUCCUGUACUUUUUUAUGUUUCGAUGUUGUGACGGAGAAGGUUAGGCGAGCAUACUGUUGGAAGUGUAUGUGAGUACCUGUAGGGAGGCGAACUAGGUAAAUCCGGUUUGCUGUUAAUUCUGAGGGGUGUGACGAGGUAUCUUUGAACGGAUACUGGAGUCGUUGAUACCAGGCUUCCAAGAAAAGCAACUAAGGCUAGGCAUAAGAGAACCGUACUAUAAACCGACACAGGUGGACGAGUAGAGCAUACUUAGGCGUUGAGAGAACUUGGGUGAAGGAACUAGGCAAAAUGGUACCGUAACUUCGGGAGAAGGUACGCUCCCUC
rnacentral:rRNA from 1 species